GAUGUGUAGGAUAGGUGGGAGGCUUUGAAGUGUGGACGCCAGUCUGCAUGGAGCCGACCUUGAAAUACCACCCUUUAAUGUUUGAUGUUCUAACGUGGACCCGUGAUCCGGGUUGCGGACAGUGUCUGGUGGGUAGUUUGACUGGGGCGGUCUCCUCCUAAAGAGUAACGGAGGAGCACGAAGGUUGGCUAAUCCUGGUCGGACAUCAGGAGGUUAGUGCAAUGGCAUAAGCCAGCUUGACUGCGAGCGUGACGGCGCGAGCAGGUGCGAAAGCAGGUCAUAGUGAUCCGGUGGUUCUGAAUGGAAGGGCCAUCGCUCAACGGAUAAAAGGUACUCCGGGGAUAACAGGCUGAUACCGCCCAAGAGUUCAUAUCGACGGCGGUGUUUGGCACCUCGAUGUCGGCUCAUCACAUCCUGGGGCUGAAGUAGGUCCCAAGGGUAUGGCUGUUCGCCAUUUAAAGUGGUACGCGAGCUGGGUUUAGAACGUCGUGAGACAGUUCGGUCCCUAUCUGCCGUGGGCGCUGGAGAACUGAGGGGGGCUGCUCCUAGUACGAGAGGACCGGAGUGGACGCAUCACUGGUGUUCGGGUUGUCAUGCCAAUGGCACUGCCCGGUAGCUAAAUGCGGAAGAGAUAAGUGCUGAAAGCAUCUAAGCACGAAACUUGCCCCGA
rnacentral:rRNA from 1 species